rnacentral:rRNA from 1 species
UCUAGUUAGCCGGGAGCUAAGGCGAGGCCGAGAGGCGUAGUCGAUGCACAUACGGUUGAGAUUCCGUAGCUACCUUGCAUUUAAGCGAAGGGACACAUUUGAAGGGCAUGACCCGGGCGUUGGUUGACCCGGGCGUAAGGGACCGAAAAUAAGUAGGGAAGCAUGCUUGGAUGGUGGCGAGAAAAGCUUCGUGUAUAUAAGCAGGGUACCCGUACUGCAAACCGACACAGGUAGUCAGGAAGAGGAUUCUAAGGCCAUCGGGAGAAGCGUUGUUAAGGAACUCGGCAAAUUGACCCCGUAACUUCGGAAUAAGGGGUGCUCACGCGAGUGAGCCGCAGUGAAUAGGUCCAGGCAACUGUUUAUCAAAAACACAGCUCUCUGCUAAAUCGUAAGAUGACGUAUAGGGGGUGACACCUGCCCGGUGCUGGAAGGUUAAGAGGAGGGGUGCAAGCUCCGAAUUGAAGCCCCAGUAAACGGCGGCCGUAACAAUAACGGUCCUAAGGUAGCGAAAUUCCUUGUCGGGUAAGUUCCGACCCGCACGAAUGGUGUAAUGAUCUGGACACUGUCUCAACAACGCACCCGGCGAAAUUGUAGUACCGGUGAAGAUGCCGGUUACCCGCGGCAAGACGGAAAGACCCCAUGGAGCUUCACUGUAGCCUGAUAUUGGGUCUCGGUAUUUUAUGUACAGGAUAGGCGGGAGACUUGGAAACCAGCACGCCAGUGUUGGCGGAGUCACCCUUGGGAUACCGCUCUUAAAGUAUUGAGAUUCUAACCUGCAGCCAUGAAUCUGGCUGGGGGACAUUGUCAGGUGGGCAGUUUGACUGGGGCGGUCGCCUCCAAAAGAGUAACGGAGGCGUUCAAAGGUUCACUCAGCAUGGACGGAAACCAUGCCUUAGAGUGCAAACGCAUAAGUGAGCCUAACUGCGAGACUGACGGGUCGAGCAGUAACGAAAGUUGGAGUUAGUGAUCCGGCGGUAUGUGAGUGGAAAUGCCGUCGCUCAACGGAUAAAAGCUACCCUGGGGAUAACAGGCUGAUCUCCCCCAAGAGUCCACAUCGACGGGGAGGUUUGGCACCGAUGUCGGCUCAUCACAUCCUGGGGCUGAAUUCGGUCCCAAGGGUUCGGCUGUUCGCCGAUUAAAGUGGUACGCGAGCUGGGUUCAGAACGUCGUGAGACAGUUCGGUCCCUAUCUGUCGUGGGCGUAGGAUAUUUGAAGGGCGCUGUUCCUAGUACGAGAGGACCGGAAUGGACGCACCACUGGUGUAUCGGUUGUCAUGCCAAUGGCACGGCCGAACAGCUAUGUGCGGAUGGGAUAAACGCUGAAAGCAUCUAAGCGUGAAGCCCUCCCUAAGAUAAGAUAUCCCACUGUUUACAGUUAAGACCCCUUAUGGACUAUGAGGUUGAUAGGCUGCGUGUGUAAGUAUGGUGACAUAUUUAGCUAGGCAGUACUAAUAGGUCGAGGGCUUGACCAA